UUUUAAACUACAAUGUCGUAUUCGUCGAGUCUGACUGCAAGUCCAGGAUUCCGCGGGGAAAAAUUAAAGAUAGGAGGAGCACAGCGAGGAGGCCAGGCGUGAGAGGACGCGCAGGAUGUUUUCGCUUCAGCUAGCGGUGCAAACAGCCUUCAAAUAAACACAUUGCUCUUGUCCCGAAUGUGAAUGGUCACAGUGUCAAUAUGCACAGAAUUAUUUCAAAGCACAAUGAUACCACUACAAUGCAGAAUGUGAAGUCUUGAGGCUGGUCAAGGAAGACUAUAGUGAGUAUUUAACAUGAGGAUGAAAAUCACCUGAAUGUGGAACCACCUCAAAACAGCUUCUAACGACCUGGAUAAGACCUCUUACCUCCAAUUACAUCUUGAACUGUAAGCCAAUUGCUGCAAGGAUGGAUUGAGAGAGAUGUGUACCAGUAAAGAAACCAUUUAUUAGUUUUUGUGUUGCAACAUCCCCUUGCAUUUGCCAAAGAAAAUAAGGACAGGAGUGUGGAAGAAUGUAGUCGUGUUCCACAGUGUUUUAUACCAAAUGCAUGUGUGGCACCAUUAAGCAUGGCAGGGGAAACAUAACGGUAGGGUAGGGUGGGGGAAAACGCCCCCCUUAAGGACUGUCAUUUUUUUCUGUGAAACAAAAGUUAAAUGUGUCCAGAAUAGCUAUCAUAAUUUUCCACAUAAAUUAUAAACCAAGUAUAAAAAAUGUCCAGAGUUUUCAUGCUAUUAGAUUUUAAAAUUUGUACGAAGGGGGCGUUUUGCCCCACAGGUGGCUUAAAAUUAAAAAGAAUAUAAUCAAUAAUUAUGAUUUACAAAAUUAUAACAUCUUAUUUUAAAAAAUAUUGUUAGCUGAUGCUAACUGGCUAGCUAACUAUAGCUACCUGAUGCUAACUUUAAGUAAUUUUUAAAUAUAAAGUCCAAAUAUUUCUAUUCAACCACCUAGUUAGAUUACAUUUGAUUGAAAAACAAAGGAUUUGAUGUUCAGAACAGAGUAACUACAGUAGCCUAAUGAUGAUAGUGGGAAGGGGGCGUUUACCCCACAGACUAUGUUUGAAAAAAUUAUAUUUUCCCUAAAUAACACAUACUCCCUAUCUACAGGCCUUACUAUUCCAAUAUCAUAUAUAACUGUGAUGUUUUAGGGGGCGUUUUCCCCCAUACCCUAAUGCAUGUCUGCAGCAGGUGUUAGAAGGAUCUACAAAGUUGCUGGCACUUAAAAAAUGGGCCGAUACUAGGGAAUGCUGCUGAACACAAAGUAGCCAAGUAUGGAGGAUCUGUUUGGAGAUCAAAUGCAAUCCAAAACAAACCUCGAAUGUUGCGCACAAUGAAAGUUUUAAUGCUCAGCAUUCUGAAGACUUCAAGUGGCCUCCUCGGUCACUUGACCAUGAACCCAUUGAAAACCUUUGGGAAAUUAUUAACCUGAAAAGUCAUGCAGGUCUUCCAAUGAAGCUCAACUUUGGGAAGAACUUAAAGAGGAUUGGAAGGAAGUUAAGCAAGACACAUCGGCAAAGUUCAGUGAGUCAUUGCCCAGCAGAAUGGCUGCUGUAAUCAAAAGCAAAGGAGAACCAACAAAAUAUUAAUAACUGAUUACAUCGCAGUCCAUGUAUGCUUUAUUUCCUGUGAGCCUUUUUUGUUUUUCUAUGACUUUUUUUGCAUAAUACAAUAAAAAAAAAAACAUAUUUAAUUAUGCUGGAGUUUGCCAAAUAAGGUUGUCAUUAUAAUACCUUAACUAACUCUAGUUUAUUCUUCUUCCCAAUAUAACAUACUCCUCAUAUUUUGAUUUAGUAGAACCUGAAGUGUCAUUAAAAGCAAACAUUGUGCAAACAUCCCCUCCGGACAUGCCUUUUGGCCGCUACUGUUUAUUGCAAGUCCUUCUUGAAGAGCAUUGGCUAAUCCACCAGGGGGCAGAAGCCUCUAGAAUUCAUCUGAAUGUUAUAAAGAGGCUUUAGAAAGAUUAAAAAUGACAUUUGGCAUACACAUUAUAAGCACACGUUCACAUAGUGCUGUAUCCAUUGUACAUAUCCAUUCAUGUCUUUUUUUAAUUCAUUCAUUCAUUCUUGU